rnacentral:rRNA from 1 species
GACAGAGGCCCCAAGCGUUAGGCGGAAUCACUGGGCGUAAAGCGUGCGCAGGCGGUUUUGUAAGCCAGAUGUGAAAGCCCCGGGCUCAACCUGGGAACUGCAUUUGGGACUGCAAGGCUGGAGUACGGCAGAGGGAGGUGGAAUUCCACGUGUAGCAGUGAAAUGCGUAGAGAUGUGGAGGAACACCGAUGGCGAAGGCAGCCUCCUGGGCUAGUACUGACGCUCAUGCACGAAAGCGUGGGGAGCAAACAGG